rnacentral:misc_RNA from 1 species
UAAAAUUCUAAGCUUCCUAUUCUGUUUUAAUAUGUUUGUGGCAAUUAUAGAUGGGGUGAACUUAUUUAAGAGAAGAAAAACAUUUGUAUUGUCUGGAGUUUUUGUUCAAUUGAAGUUGGAGGCGCUAUGACAACUAAAUGGUGAAAAGAAUUUGGCAAUAGAAUUGGAGCAGCCUCUCGAUACAGCAUUAAUCAGAUAUCCUUCGAGAUAUAUAUGUCUUUAGUGAGGAUUUAAUUGAUUUUCUAUUCAAAUGUUCACUCAGUUCAUGUCACAUAUGUUGUUUACUCAUACCCAAAGUAGGACGGGCAAUGGGACACAACAAUGAAAAACUCUUUGCUGAUGAAUCAAAACAAAUUGAUGUGAACAUUAAAUUUGACUCAUUAUUUUCUCUUGGAAGAAUCAUAGACUGUGGACAGAAGAAACAAGGUUACUUGUUUUGGUGAAGUGCAAACACGUAUAUUAGGCCCUAUUAUGUGCUGUUAACAAUGCCUAAUUGAUAUAUGAAUUUAUGGUUUCUUGGUGGAGUAAUGAGUAAAACAUAUUUUAUGUGCUUGAGAUUUCAGCAUGAUACCUUGUGAGAUAGAUUUCAAGUUGGGAUCUUUAAUCGAUCAAAGCAUGUUUCAUCUAUAGAUUUUGGUUAUUAAUGAUGGCCUUCCGUUUUGCUUCAUAACGAGAAUUGUUUGUUCUCAUUCUAUUAUUAUUAUUAUUAUUACUAUCAUAUGUGAGUGAAUAUAUUAUAUUAUGUUAUAUUAAUUCGAAAAAAAGUAAGGGAAAAUGGUCCGGAGCUUUUAGCCCGGGCCGCUCCACCACCAUCACGAAAUACGCCACCGUGGUUCUCCGAUCUUAGGGUUCCGUAUUCUGUUUGUUACUAUUUUCAGAUUUCGUAAUCUUUAAUCCUGGUGAGCUUGCCUUCUCUCUGCAAUGGCUUCGAAGCCGUGGCUACACCCGGCUCCCUCAUAUCGUCCUUUGGAGACGUACUGGGAUACCGAUGAAGAUGCUCCUGGUUACCGAUGCGCCCAUACCUUAACGGCUGUUGCUGCCACCAACGCUCAUGGUCCUCGCUUGAUUCUCUUCGGAGGCACUACUGCCAUUGAGAGCGGCGGCUCUUCCUCUGCCCCCGGCAUCAGAUUGGCCGGAGUCACCAAUUCAGUUCAUUCUUACGACGUUCUUACUAGGAAAUGGACUAGAAUACGACCUGCUGGGGAACCCCCGUCUCCUAGGGCUGCGCACGCGGCAGCUGCUGUUGGUACUAUGGUUGCCUUUCAGGGCGGGAUAGGUCCUGCUGGGCAUUCAACUGAUGAUCUCUUUGUGCUUGACUUGACCAAUGACAAAUUCAAGUGGCACCGAGUGGUUGUACAAGGACAGGGCCCUGGGCCUCGCUAUGGGCAUGUAAUGGACCUGGUUGCCCAACGAUUCCUUGUUACUGUCAGCGGAAAUGACGGGAAAAGAGCUUUAUCUGAUGCAUGGGCUUUGGAUACUGCCCAGAAGCCAUAUGUAUGGCAGAGACUAAAUCCUGAAGGUGAUAGGCCUUCUGCUAGAAUGUAUGCAACAGCUAGUGCCCGUUCAGAUGGCAUGUUUUUGCUUUGUGGUGGAAGAGAUUCCUCGGGCGUGGCACUUGGAGAUGCUUAUGGGCUUUUAAUGCAUAGAAAUGGUCAAUGGGAGUGGACUCUCGCACCUGGGGUAUCUCCUUCACCAAGGUAUCAGCAUGCUGCGGUUUUUGUUGGUGCACGAUUGCAUGUUACAGGAGGUGUCCUGAAGGGGGGACGAUCUGUAGAAAGUGAAGCAGCUGCUGCAGUGUUGGACACUGCUGCUGGUGUUUGGUUGGAUAAAAAUGGGCUUGUGACUUCCCCAAAAACCAGUAAGGGACAUACUGAAUAUGAUCCUGCAUUGGAGCUAAUGCGUCGUUGUCGCCAUGCAUCUGCUUCUGUUGGCGUUCGAAUAUAUGUUUAUGGCGGUCUGAGAGGAGAUGUGCUGCUAGAUGAUUUUCUAGUUGCGGAAAGUUCCCCAUUACAGUCAGACAUGAAUUCUCCUGUAUUAACAUCUGAGAGAGCCUCAACUAUAACAAGUCCCAGAAUAAAUCAUUCUAAUGCUAAUGCUUAUGAAGCAAGUUCAGAUGUUGGGCCAGAGAUCCCUUUGUCUGGUGGAGUCAGCAUGGACAAAAAUUCUAUGGAGAAACUUAGGGAGGCUUCUGCUGCUGAAGCCGAGGCUGCUAAUGCUGUUUGGCAAGCAGCUCAGGCAGCAUGUCUCAAUUCUGCUGAAGAGACAUCUGUAUCUGAUGACAACUCACAAGCUGCAGAAGCAACUUCAGAUGGUAGUGAUGCAGAGGCUGAUGUUCGCCUUCAUCCUAGAGCUGUUGUGGUAGCUAAAGAGGCUGUGGGGAACCUUGGUGGGAUGGUGAGGCAGUUGUCACUAGAUCAAUUUGAAAAUGAAAGCAGACGGAUGGUACCUAUGAAUAGUGACACACCAUAUGCUGCCAAAAAGUUCACCAGGCAAAAGUCUCCUCAGGGCUUGCAUAAGAAGAUAAUUUCUACAUUGCUUAGGCCUCGGAAUUGGAAAGCUCCUGCUAAUCGGAGGUUUUUCCUGGAUUCUUAUGAAGUUGGCGAGCUUUGCUAUGCAGCUGAACAGAUCUUUAUGCAUGAGCCCACUGUUCUUCAAUUGAAAGCCCCAAUUAAAGUUUUUGGUGAUCUUCAUGGUCAGUUUGGUGACUUAAUGCGUCUAUUUGAUGAAUAUGGAUUUCCUUCCACUGCAGGAGACAUUACGUACAUUGACUAUUUGUUUUUGGGAGACUAUGUUGAUCGAGGGCAGCACAGUUUAGAGACUAUAACUUUGCUUCUUGCUCUUAAGGCAAAGCAUCUGCUUUGAGGGAAUGCUUAACUAUAUUUCACCUCUGUUCUAGUGUUUGACCUCAUUGUGCCUUUGUUAUGUCUUUGCAGAUUGAGCAUCCUGAGAAUGUUCAUCUGAUUCGUGGAAACCAUGAAGCUGCUGACAUAAAUGCACUCUUUGGUUUUCGUCUUGAAUGCAUUGAGAGAAUGGUAUGAUAAACAUGUCACAUGCUGUUCUGUACUGUGUAUUGCAAAUUUCGGUGUUGCUGAUGACCAAUACUAUUUUUAGGGAGAAAGUGAUGGAAUAUGGGCAUGGACACGUUUUAAUCAACUUUUCAACUUUCUUCCCCUUGCUGCACUUAUAGAGAAGAAAAUUAUAUGUAUGCAUGGUGGCAUAGGGAGAUCUAUUCAUUCGGUAGAGCAGAUAGAGAAGAUUGAAAGGCCCAUAACAAUGGACGCUGGAUCUAUAAUUCUAAUGGAUCUUUUAUGGUCCGAUCCAACAGAAAAUGAUAGCAUAGAGGGUUUGAGACCAAAUGCUAGAGGCCCUGGUCUUGUCACUUUUGGGGUAUAUUUGUCAUCAUUUAUAGUUUUUUUUUUCCCCUUAGGUGCCUGUUUCAUGUUAGUUGCUGUAAAAAUAUAAAAGUUCUUAUUGCCUUACAUAAUUGUAUUAAUUUCUUGGCAUACUAUUUUCAGUAGUCCUUUGAAGUCUGAUGCUUUUGAAAAUCGUACAAGAGCCUAAGCUUUGCAUAAUGUUUCUUAUUUAUUUAUUUAUUAUCAUAAUUGCAGCCUGACCGUGUAAUGGACUUCUGUAAGAAAAAUAAGUUACAACUGAUCAUUAGGGCACAUGAAUGUGUCAUGGAUGGGUUUGAACGGUUUGCUCAAGGUCAAUUGAUUACACUUUUUUCUGCAACAAACUAUUGUGGGACUGCAAACAAUGCUGGAGCUAUACUAGUGGUUGGCAGGGGUUUGGUGGUGGUUCCAAAAUUGAUUCAUCCCUUGCCACCUCCUCUUCAAUCACCAGAGACAUCCCCAGAACGAGUCGUGGAUGAUACAUGGAUGCAAGAACUUAACAUCCAAAGGCCCCCUACCCCAACUCGGGGUCGCCCACAACCUGACCAUGACAGGAGUUCACUUGCAUAUAUAUGAUGUUACUGCCCAUUUUUCAUAAUUCGUGAGAUUCAUUCCAUGUUAGCAAGGAGGCUGAUAUGCGCUUGUGUUGUACUUUAAGACGUACAAGUUGCAAAAGAUGAAAACGUUGCCUAGUGUACGCAGCUCAAAGAUUAUAGAAGGUUUAGCUAUUAAGCGGUGAGUGUGACAUAUGUAAAAUUACUAUGAGAAGGGAUAGUGUUUGUAAUUUUUCUGCUGUUUAUAGUUCAUACGGAGGGAAGUUGGGUUAGUUUGUGCAUUGUAAUACCAAGGGGAUGACACGAGAGGCUUUUAUUCUACUUUUGCUAUUUAUUUAUUUAUUUUUUAAAGAAAAAGUUUUGAACCACAAUCCCUAAUAGGAUCAUGGUAAAGGAUUGAGUUAUCUUGGUAAGUUACAAGAAGCAAGCAGGAAAAAAAGCAAUUAAAACAAAGAAGGGGUUGAAAAAGCAGCCAACCUGUGGAAGAGGUUAUAUUUGUACAAUGAGAUUUUUCUAUGCUAGUUCAUUAUGAUGGACUUCUAAGGGGAAAAUAGUGCUUCAGCAUUAUGAAGUUUCCAGCACUGUGCAAAGAUAUCUUGGAAUGUGUACAAUAAUUGUCAUGGACUUAAAUUUACCUAUUCUUGUUAGAUACUAUUUGAAAUAAGCCUCUAAUGAUGGCAGAUUGGUGGUUCAUUUACUAGUUAUUUUACCAUUGCUUUUCUGAUUUUAAUUAAUUGUCAAAAUAUUUUUGCAUUUAUAAGGGGCUUUCUUUCUUGCUUUCUCUCUCUCAUGUAAUUAUGUAAGUUGCUUAACUACUGAUUUUUAUGUCCAACAAUUAGGUAAAGCCAAAUCUGGCAGGAA